CCUACGGGGGGCUGCAGUGGGGAAUAUUGCACAAUGGGCGCAAGCCUGAUGCAGCCAUGCCGCGUGUGUGAAGAAGGCCUUCGGGUUGUAAAGCACUUUCAGCGGGGAGGAAGGCGUUAAGGUUAAUAACCUUGUCGAUUGACGUUACCCGCAGAAGAAGCACUGGCUAACUCCGUGCCAGCAGCCGCGGUAAUACGGAGGGUGCAAGCGUUAAUCGGAAUUACUGGGCGUAAAGCGCACGCAGGCGGUCUGUCAAGUCGGAUGUGAAAUCCCCGGGCUCAACCUGGGAACUGCAUUCGAAACUGGCAGGCUAGAGUCUUGUAGAGGGGGGUAGAAUUCCAGGUGUAGCGGUGAAAUGCGUAGAGAUCUGGAGGAAUACCGGUGGCGAAGGCGGCCCCCUGGACAAAGACUGACGCUCAGGUGCGAAAGCGUGGGGAGCAAACAGGAUAGAUACCCGAGUAGUC
rnacentral:rRNA from 1 species